UUUUAUGAAACGCAUGGUUAUUAGAAUAAAAAAUUCCCAGCUUCCUUCAUUCAUUUAUUUCAAUAUUUUCAGUGUGAAACGUCAGCAAUUUGCAUUAAUAAGUCAACUACAAGCAAAUAUAUAUACAUACAAGAAACGGACAAACAGUCAUUAACUAAAUGCUUAUUGUUUCAACAAAUUCCAUUAGGAAUGAACAACAAAUAUUUUCACAGGGUCAUAUAUGACUAUUUUUUUCUAGUGACACUUGUAACUUAAAACUUUCAGCACGUCAUCAGCAUUAGUGGCCAGGGGAUGAGGAACAAAAUUAAAAAUAAGUAAAGCCUUGCCAAAUUUAACUAAAGCUCCACUACUCCUUUCAAAACCCACCAUCCCACAGGUAAAAAAAAACUUUGAAAACCUAUAUUUCAUUUUACAACCGAAAUGGCGCAGCCGCAAGCCCUGCAAGUCUCAACAGUCGUGCAAAACUACAAAUACGCAUGCCUGCUUUUACCAUCCCACAGGUAAAAAAAAACUUUGAAAACCUAUAUUUCAUUUUACAACCGAAAUGGCGCAGCCGCAAGCCCUGCAAGUCUCAACAGUCGUGCAAAACUACAAAUACGCAUGCCUGCUUUUGCAGCAGCCAAUGAUGGGGGAACAUUUUAUACAGAGGAUAAACUCACAUGAAAUAGCUUAGUGCUUUCUUGACUCUUGAACCACCUUCCCCAUAGAGUUCAUUCCAUUGUAAAAGCUCCGUCAUAUUAACAGAUUC
rnacentral:lncRNA from 1 species